rnacentral:rRNA from 1 species
UGGGGAAUAUUGCACAAUGGGCGCAAGCCUGAUGCAGCCAUGCCGCGUGUAUGAAGAAGGCCUUCGGGUUGUAAAGUACUUUCAGCGGGGAGGAAGGGAGUAAAGUUAAUACCUUUGCUCAUUGACGUUACCCGCAGAAGAAGCACCGGCUAACUCCGUGCCAGCAGCCGCGGUAAUACGGAGGGUGCAAGCGUUAAUCGGAAUUACUGGGCGUAAAGCGCGCGCAGGCGGUUUGUUAAGUCAGAUGUGAAAUCCUCGGGCUCAACCUGGGAACUGCAUCUGAUACUGGCAAGCUUGAGUCUCGUAGAGGGGGGUAGAAUUCCAGGUGUAGCGGUGAAAUGCGUAGAGAUCUGGAGGAAUACCGGUGGCGAAGGCGGCCCCCUGGACGAAGACUGACGCUCAGGUGCGAAAGCGUGGGGAGCAAACAGG